rnacentral:rRNA from 1 species
AUGUCGCCGACGCUCGCGUGCGCGUGCUCGCGCUGGAGCUCCAGCGGCUGGGGAACCUGCUUUGCACCGCCGUCCAUCGCGUGUGUGCGUCAAGUGCGCGCUGGAGCUCGCCCUCCGCGUUACGUACUACGGCCGAGACGGCGCCCCAUUCUCCUUGCUCCUGCGGUGGUGGAGGCGGCGAGGCAAGGAAACAGUGAGGCCAGGCGACGGUCGCUGACGCGGAAACGCCAGUCAUGGAUGCGGAGACUCAGGGCGGGACGCCGGCCAUGGAUACUGGAACACGGAGACGACAUUGCGGGAGCAGGGGAUACGCGAGGAAGGUGA